CUUGGUCAUUUAGAGGAAGUAAAAGUCGUAACAAGGUCUCCGUUGGUGAACCAGCGGAGGGAUCAUUAAAGAGAGUUCCGAACUCCCUAAACCCCUGUGAACCUACCACUAUUUUCCUUCGGCAGGCGGCCCCAGGGCGGGGCCGUAGUCUGCCGUGGCGCAGACGCCUGCCGGAGACCCCUAAACUCUUGCCGUUUAUUGUUCGUCUGAGUCUAUAAAAAAUGAAUCAAAACUUUCAACAACGGAUCUCUUGGUUCUGGCAACGAUGAAGAACGCAGCGAAAUGCGAUACGUAAUGCGAAUUGCAGAAUUCAGCGAGUCAUCGAAUCUUUGAACGCACAUUGCGCCCGCUAGUAUUCUAGCAGGCAUGCCUGUCCGAGCGUCGUUUCGACCCUCAGGCCCUCCUCCUCGCGGGGGAGACCAGGCCUGGUGUUGGGGCAUCUACGCGUCAUGCGUAGGCCCCGAAAUCCAGCGGCGGGCCUGCCGAGACCCCGAACGCAGUAAGUAAAAUCUCGUUCUGGGCGUCCCGGCGGGUGUCUCCGGCCGUUAAACCCCCCAACUUUUUACAAGGUCGACCUCGGAUCAGGUAGGAAUACCCGCUGAACUUAAGCAUAUCAAUAAGCGGAGGA
rnacentral:rRNA from 1 species